rnacentral:rRNA from 1 species
CCUACGGGGGGCAGCAGUCGGGAAUAUUGCGCAAUGGAGGAAACUCUGACGCAGUGACGCCGCGUGCAGGAAGAAGGUUUUCGGAUUGUAAACUGCUUUAGACAGGGAAGAAAAAAGACAGUACCUGUAGAAUAAGCUCCGGCUAACUACGUGCCAGCAGCCGCGGUAAUACGUAGGGAGCAAGCGUUAUCCGGAUUUAUUGGGUGUAAAGGGUGCGUAGACGGAGCAGCAAGAUAGUUGUGAAAUCCCUGGGCUUAACUGAGGAACUGCAACUAAAACUACCUCCCUUGAGUACGGGAGAGGAAAGUGGAAUGCGUAGUGUAGCGGUGAAAUGCGGAGAUAUUAGGAGGAACACCAGUGGCGAAGGCGACUUGCUGGACAGUAACUGACGUUGAGGCACGAAGGCCAGGGGAUCGAAAGGGAUUAGAUACCCCAGUAGUC